CCUAUUUUCAACUUUUGACCUCGGAUCAGGUAGGGAUACCCGCUGAACUUAAGCAUAUCAAUAAGCGGAGGAAAAGAAACCAACAGGGAUUGCCCUAGUAACGGCGAGUGAAGCGGCAACAGCUCAAAUUUGAAAUCUGGCUCUUUUAGGGUCCGAGUUGUAAUUUGCAGAGGGCGCUUUG
rnacentral:rRNA from 1 species